CUCUAGAGUUUGAUCCUGGCUCAGGACGAACGCUGGCGGCGUGCUUAACACAUGCAAGUCGAACGGAAAGGCCCAGCUUGCUGGGUACUCGAGUGGCGAACGGGUGAGUAACACGUGGGUGAUCUGCCCUGCACUCUGGGAUAAGCCUGGGAAACUGGGUCUAAUACCGGAUAUGACCAACUGUCGCAUGGUGGUUGGUGGAAAGCUUUUGCGGUGUGGGAUGGGCCCGCGGCCUAUCAGCUUGUUGGUGGGGUAAUGGCCUACCAAGGCGACGACGGGUAGCCGACCUGAGAGGGUGAUCGGCCACACUGGGACUGAGACACGGCCCAGACUCCUACGGGAGGCAGCAGUGGGGAAUAUUGCACAAUGGGCGCAAGCCUGAUGCAGCGACGCCGCGUGAGGGAUGACGGCCUUCGGGUUGUAAACCUCUUUCACCAGGGACGAAGCGUGAGUGACGGUACCUGGAGAAGAAGCACCGGCCAACUACGUGCCAGCAGCCGCGGUAAUACGUAGGGUGCGAGCGUUGUCCGGAAUUACUGGGCGUAAAGAGCUCGUAGGCGGUUUGUCGCGUCGUCUGUGAAAUUCUGCAACUCAAUUGCAGGCGUGCAGGCGAUACGGGCAGACUUGAGUACUACAGGGGAGACUGGAAUUCCUGGUGUAGCGGUGAAAUGCGCAGAUAUCAGGAGGAACACCGGUGGCGAAGGCGGGUCUCUGGGUAGUAACUGACGCUGAGGAGCGAAAGCGUGGGUAGCGAACAGGAUUAGAUACCCUGGUAGUCCACGCCGUAAACGGUGGGUACUAGGUGUGGGUUCCUUUUCACGGGAUCCGUGCCGUAGCUAACGCAUAAGUA
rnacentral:rRNA from 1 species